GGUCUAAUAGUGUAGUGGUUAUCACUCUGGAUUUUGAUCACCAUAGUCAAGAUUUCCAGUAACCCUAGUUCGAAUCUAGGUUAGACCU